CCUGAUUGUGACCAUUGACUCCUUGGAUCCAUGUGAGUUCAGGCUUUCCUAUUAAAACAACCCAUUAAAUGGAUUUCUUUCACCUGGGACUUUGUAAACAGAAAUUGAGAAGAGUCAAAACACUGUGAAUGAACUCCAUAUACAUUUAUUAAACAGUUAACAAAGGCACAGCAAUAACCACUUACUAUAUAUAGUUAAUACACAUAUGAUUCUCCUUAACUACCAGUUUCCCCAAAGAAUUAUUCACCUCUUCAGGUCACAAAGGCAAAAGGCAAAGUCUCAAUCCCCACCCAUUUCUUGAUUCUCCAUAGGUUGACCAUCAUUUCCUGUAGCCAUUAAUGUCUCUAGAAGCAUGGAGAAUGCAGAGAUACCUCAGGUUCCUUCUGCAUUCUCAGGUCCAGCUCAUGAACAGGCUAUCUGCUUUAACAGGUGCUGUUACUACUGCUUACUGCUAUGCAUCCAGUUAUUCAAUGAUUUUCCACCAGAUUUUCUCUUUGCACUCAGACAUACAUGCUGGGCGGUGUGCUAAAUCACUUAUAGGGUGAAACCUCACUUAUAGGGUGAAAAAGCAAAACUCUGCUUUUUCUUGCAUCUGCUUUGCCCGGGUGUCCUGCCUGCCUCUGCACUGCACUGUUAACAGGAAAAACAGAAAAAUGCUGGGCUGACCAGAACUUCCUUCUUAUCCAGGUUUCAGCAUGCACUUUGGAAUGGAGCAUCUGUUUGAGAGGACAGAAAUCAAAUCUCCUGUUCCUCUCACAAACCUCACCCUUCUGUCAGGGUGGCUAUUCUUUCUAUCAGUGGAGCUGUUGGCUUUUGUUCCUCUCACAAACCUCACCCUUCUGUCAGGGUGGCUAUUCUUUCUAUCAGUGGAGCUGUUGGCUUUUGUUCCCCAGACUCCUACUGUCCUCCUGUUGACGGGAGAGUCCAGACACAGAGAAAAAUCUGGGAGGGCUCGGUUAAACAGACACUUCUAG
rnacentral:lncRNA from 1 species